rnacentral:rRNA from 1 species
AUGCUUGAAGAAUUUUGUCAAAACUUUAAAGAAGAAACCAGCCGACUGGAGCCAAACCUCGACCCCGUCAAUUCUCCGGUGAACGACGAAGUUGCCAUGGAUGUUUUCCGACUGGAGUCUCGUGUUGCAGCUGUCGUGGACUAUCUCGCAAGGCUGAAGGCCGCCACAUCGCGCAUCGACUCGACGCUCUGGCCUGAGGAGACACUUCAGAAUGACCUUGAGUCGCUGAUGGCCCGCUUGAACACGAUCCCUGGUCGAGUGCAGGAGUGGAAGAAGUCCUCGGCUCGGUGUGGUGCAGAUGUCGCUCUGUGUCUGGCCCGAGUCCACUGCAAAGAUGCGCGAGAAGAGAAGCUGGCGGCCCUUCGGGUGGCCAAUACCAAGAAGCACGACUUCAGGUCCUUUAUGGAAACUUUCCUUGCAGCUGCCACUCGGAUCGCCGACGGAAUUGACCUUGAUGAAUUCGUUGCACCUUCCAGCCCUCCACAGGAGGGGUAA